CGGUGGAGCAUGUGGUUAAUUCGAAGCAACGCGAAGAACCUUACCAGGCCUUGACAUGCAGAGAACUUUCCAGAGAUGGAUUGGUGCCUUCGGGAACUCUGACACAGGUGCUGCAUGGCUGUCGCCAGCUCGUGUCGUGAGAUGUUGGGUUAAGUCCCGUAACGAGCGCAACCCUUGUCCUUAGUUACCAGCACGUUAUGGUGGGCACUCUAAGGAGACUGCCGGUGACAAACCGGAGGAAGGUGGGGAUGACGUCAAGUCAUCAUGGCCCUUACGGCCUGGGCUACACACGUGCUACAAUGGUCGGUACAAAGGGUUGCCAAGCCGCGAGGUGGAGCUAAUCCCAUAAAACCGAUCGUAGUCCGGAUCGCAGUCUGCAACUCGACUGCGUGAAGUCGGAAUCGCUAGUAAUCGUGAAUCAGAAUGUCACGGUGAAUACGUUCCCGGGCCUU
rnacentral:rRNA from 1 species